CUAAUACAUGCAAGUCGAGCGAACUGAUUAGAAGCUUGCUUCUAUGACGUUAGCGGCGGACGGGUGAGUAACACGUGGGCAACCUGCCUGUAAGACUGGGAUAACUUCGGGAAACCGAAGCUAAUACCGGAUAGGAUCUUCUCCUUCAUGGGAGAUGAUUGAAAGAUGGUUUCGGCUAUCACUUACAGAUGGGCCCGCGGUGCAUUAGCUAGUUGGUGAGGUAACGGCUCACCAAGGCAACGAUGCAUAGCCGACCUGAGAGGGUGAUCGGCCACACUGGGACUGAGACACGGCCCAGACUCCUACGGGAGGCAGCAGUAGGGAAUCUUCCGCAAUGGACGAAAGUCUGACGGAGCAACGCCGCGUGAGUGAUGAAGGCUUUCGGGUCGUAAAACUCUGUUGUUAGGGAAGAACAAGUACAAGAGUAACUGCUUGUACCUUGACGGUACCUAACCAGAAAGCCACGGCUAACUACGUGCCAGCAGCCGCGGGUAAUACGUAGGUGGCAAGCGUUAUCCGGAAUUAUUGGGCGUAAAGCGCGCCGCAGGCGGUUUCUUAAGUCUGAUGUGAAAGCCCACGGGCUCAACCGUGGAAGGGUCAUUGGGAAACUGGGGGAACUUGAGUGCAGAAAAAGAAAAGCGGAAUUCCACGUGUAGCGGUGAAAUGCGUAGAGAUGUGGAGGAACACCAGUGGGCGAAAGCGGGCUUUUUUGGUCUGUUAACUGACGCUGAAGCGCGAAAGCGUGGGG
rnacentral:rRNA from 2 species